rnacentral:snoRNA from 1 species
GCCAUCCAGAUCCCUUCCUCCUCAGAUCUAAUGCUGGUCGGGGUUAAAAGAGGAAGAAAAGUAAAACUGAAGUGGCCUUGGAGCCUUUAAUGACACACAAGUUCAUUUCAAAUAAUU